rnacentral:lncRNA from 1 species
CCCGCGCUCACCCCGCCUGACGCAGGGAGUCAAGCCCUGCCGGGCGUCAGGCCGCUGGAGGAAUGGAGUUCGCGGAGCUGAUCCGCACAGGCCAGGCCCAAGCCGAGCUCCUGCGGGGUCCGGAGGAGCCCCCACUGCGUGGCACGCUUUGCAUCACCGGCCACCACCUGAUGCUGUCGCCAGGGCCCCAGGCGACUCCAGACCUGUGGCUGCUGCUGUUGCGUAACGUUGACUCCAUCGAGAAGCGGGUCGCGGGUGACUCGGGCACCAUCACGCUGCGCUGUAAGGACCUGCGAGUGUUGCAGCUGGACAUAGAGGGCGUGGAGGCCACGCUGGACAUCGCCCGCUCCAUCGAGGCGCUGUCCUCCCUGGAAUCGGUCAUCACCUCCUUUCCGUUCUUCUACCGUCCCAAAGGUUUGAGGUUAGGCGACGCCUGGCACUUCCACCCUCCCGAAUGCUACUACAAGCGAGUAGCUCGCGAGACCAACGCGUGGCGGCUGAGCGAGGCGAACGAGGACUUCAGCUUGUGCCCCAGUUACCCUCGCGCCGUGAUCGUGCCUCGCGCGGUGGACGACAGUGCCCUGGCGCGUAGCGCCCGCUUCCGCCAGGGAGGCCGCUUCCCUGUGCUCAGCUACUACCACGCUCCCAGCGGAACCGUGCUGCUACGUGCUGGUCAGCCCCUGACUGGGCCCCAGAAGCGGCGUUGCUCUGAGGACGAGGACCUGCUGAGAGCUGUGUUGGCGGGGGCUCGGCCCGGGGCCCGGGGCUUCAUCGUGGACACGCGCUCGCCCCAGGCCGCCAAACAGGCCCGCAUGACUGGUGGAGGCACCGAGGCCAAGGCUGCCUACCCUGGCUGGAAACGACUGCACCGGCCCCUGGAGACGGGGCGGCCCCUACAGGAGAGCUUCGUGCGCCUGGUGGAGGCCUGCGGGGACCUGGAGCAGAGCAUGGACCGCUGGCUUAAUCGACUAGAGAGCUGCCGCUGGCUGUCACAUGUGAAGGAGACUCUGAGCACCGCCUGCCUAGCAGCCCAGAGCAUGGAACAGGAAGGGGCCUGUGUCCUGGUACAUGGGGCUGAAGGCACAGACAGCACCCUGCUCAUCACUUCACUGGCCCAACUCAUCCUAGACCCCUUGAGCCGAACCAUGGCUGGAUUCCAGGAACUAAUAGAGCGAGAGUGGAUCCAGGCUGGCCACCCCUUCCAGCUGCGCUGUGCUCACUCAGCCUUCUCCCACGCCCGCCCCAAACACGAGGCCCCCACCUUUCUCCUCUUCCUGGACUGCGUGUGGCAGCUGGGCCGCCAGUUCCCGCUGUCGCUGGAGUUUGGGGAGGGGAUGCUACUGGCGCUGUUUGAUCACGCCUAUGCCUCCCCUUUUGGCACCUUCCUGUGCAACAACGAAAAGGAGAGAUGCCUGUGUGAAGUGAGAACUCGAACACACUCCCUGUGGUCUGGGCUCAGUCAGCCAAAAGAGCAACGAAAGCUCCGGAACCCACUCUACGUCCCCAACCCCCUGGCUAUCUGGCCCUCGGCGGAGCCCCAGAGCCUGCGACUGUGGCAAGGCCUGUUUCUGCGCGGGACCCGUCCACCUGAGCCUUCAGAGGUAGCGUGGGAGAAAGUGUGGCAAAUAGUGACGGAUCAGGAGAAGACAGAAGGCUCUCAGCCAACAGAUUCAGCCUCUGAGGCUGGACCCUAA